GUGAGGAAUAUUGGUCAAUGGGCGGGAGCCUGAACCAGCCAAGUCGCGUGAAGGAAGAAGGAUCUAUGGUUCGUAAACUUCUUUUGCAGGGGAAUAAAGUGCAGGACGUGUCCUGUUUUGUAUGUACCCUGAGAAUAAGGAUCGGCUAACUCCGUGCCAGCAGCCGCGGUAAUACGGAGGAUCCGAGCGUUAUCCGGAUUUAUUGGGUUUAAAGGGUGCGUAGGUGGUUUGAUAAGUCAGCGGUGAAAGUUUGCAGCUUAACUGUAAAAAUGCCGUUGAAACUGUCGGACUUGAGUGUAAAUGAGGUAGGCGGAAUGCGUGGUGUAGCGGUGAAAUGCAUAGAUAUCACGCAGAACUCCGAUUGCGAAGGCAGCUUACUAAGCUACAACUGACACUGAAGCACGAAAGUGUGGGGAUCAAACAGGAUUAGAUACCCCAGUAGUCC
rnacentral:rRNA from 1 species